GAAAUGGAGUGGCUUGAAUCAACAGAAGUUUCUUCUGUCCUCAUGUGGCAGCCCAGGCAUCCGUCAAUUCAGGGUCUAUGGGGUUGCAGCGGAGGGCUCCCAUUUCCCCCAGAGGCCACGGGUCUUCCCGGCUCUGAGUAGGUGUUCCAGAUGGUGUGCAGGUAAGUGUCAGAUGGGAAAGCAGCAUGCAUCCUUGACACCUCCCCUUCCCCAGAAGCCACUUCCCUGAGUCUCUCCACGCUGCCAGCAGAGGCUCAGGUGCCUGGCUCUCCGCCCUGCUCCUGGAGUUCUCUUUGACAUUGCAGCUUGUGCACCCUGCCCUGUGGAGUGUGAGAAAUCACAGACAGCAGAGGCCAUGGGCCGUGCCACCAAACAGGGAUUCUGGCCCUGGCUCUCAUUUACAUCUCUCCCCUCUUCUUCUUCCCUUGUAGCUGGAAAAUUGCAAAGUGUCACACUGUGAUAUCUUAGCCAGGUGUUGGACCCUAAGACAGUAGGAGGACAGGUAGUCACCUAAUGUCCCUGCACAGUCAGGGGAAGAUGA
rnacentral:lncRNA from 1 species